CAGGGGAUAGCAUGUAGUUUGUAAACAUGUGUAACUUGUUGACAUUGAAGACUUGUUUGUGGACUACAGCCUUGCCAUGAAAAAAUAGAACAUCGUCUUUAACAGUUAGAUGAUUUCCAUGAUUGUACUAUCGAAUACAUGCAUUUUUUCCUUUCUUUGAUCGUUCAGCAACUGGCACAUUGAACACCCCUCUCGCUAACCUAACCACGACUGUGUACGUUUCUCUGCCCAUUGGACCCACUGACCUAGCUUCAGGUUCCAUGUGGCAACACCUAAAGUAUACUUGAGUGUUAGUUUCAUUGUUGUUUAGAGACACUCCAGCACAUUUUUAAAAUAUGGCUAAUUGGUUUGACGUGGUUAUUGCGACACUUGGUCUCUACUGAAAAAGGAAACGCGAUGCAGAAACAUAAGCCUACGGGGCGGUGAGCGGCAACAGCUCUUCUCCUGUGUUGGAGCAAACCUCAUCCGGGCAAAAUCGAUGGAGAUGUUGGAGCAAACUGAACUUAUUUUGUACUAACGUUCAAUUUAUAAUCGUUUAAAAUUGCUAAUUUUGUGAUUCAAAUGCCAUGUAAACGCGUUUCAGGUGAUCUCAAAUUUAAACUGUACUUUUGUCUA